UACAGAGGGUGCAAGCGUUGUUCGGAAUUAUUGGGCGUAAAGGGCGCGUAGGCGGGCGGACAAGUCAGGGGUGAAGUCCGGCAGCUCAACUGUCGAAGUGCCUUUGAUACUGUCUGUCUUGAGGGAGGUAGGGGUUUGUGGAACUUCUGGUGGAGCGGUGAAAUGCGUUGAUAUCAGAAGGAACGCCGGUGGCGAAAGCGACGAACUGGACCUCUUCUGACGCUGAGGCGCGAAAGCUAGGGGAGCAAACGGG
rnacentral:rRNA from 1 species